rnacentral:rRNA from 1 species
CCUACGGGAGGCAGCAGUGAGGAAUAUUGGUCAAUGGGCUUACGCCUGAACCAGCCAAGUCGCGUGAGGGAAGACUGCCCUAUGGGUUGUAAACCUCUUUUGUCAGGGAGCAACGCCGGCUACGUGUAGCCGGACUGAGAGUACCUGAAGAAAAAGCAUCGGCUAACGCCGUGCAAGCAGCCGCGGUAAUACGGAGGAUGCGAGCGUUAUCCGGAUUUAUUGGGUUUAAAGGGUGCGUAGGCGGAAUGCCAAGUCAGCGGUAAAAUCGCGGGGCUCAACCUCGCGCCGCGGUUGAAACUGGCGUUCUUGAGUGGGCGAGAGGUAUGCGGAAUGCGUGGUGUAGCGGUGAAAUGCAUAGAUAUCACGAAGAACUCCGAUUGCGAAGGCAGCAUACCGGCGCCCAACUGACGCUGAAGCACGAAAGCGUGGGUAUCGAACAGGAUUAGAUACCCGUGUAGUC